UACGUAGGGUGCAAGCGUUAAUCGGAAUUACUGGGCGUAAAGCGUACGCAGGCGGCUAUGUAAGACAGGUGUGAAAUCCCCGGGCUUAACCUGGGAACUGCAUUUGUGACUGCAAGGCUGGAGUGCGGCAGAGGGGGAUGGAAUUCCGCGUGUAGCAGUGAAAUGCGUAGAUAUGCGGAGGAACACCGAUGGCGAAGGCAAUCCCCUGGGCCUGCACUGACGCUCAUGCACGAAAGCGUGGGGAGCAAACAGG
rnacentral:rRNA from 1 species